AGGCCUGUAGCUUAGGGGUCAGAGCGCCUGGCUCAUAAUCAGGUGGUCGUUGGUUCGAAUCCAACCAGGCCUA
rnacentral:tRNA from 1 species